rnacentral:lncRNA from 1 species
UUGAAGCCUCCAACCGGUACUAAUGUGCCUGAGAGCCUUUAGUACCGGGAGGAGGCUCCACCCAGUACUAAUUGGUGGGUAGGGACCCAAAAUUUGAGCUUCACUAGAUUGAAGUCCGCAUGCGUCCGCUCCUCUCCAUCCGCUCGUGACUCUCCCUCUUUCUCCUGAAUGGCCUCCCUCUUUCUCCCUUCUCCCCCUGUCCCUUCACUUCCCCCGAUCGCUUCUUCCCC